GAUGAACGCUGGCGGCGUGCCUAAUACAUGCAGGUCGAGCGAACGGACGAGAAGCUUGCUUCUCUGAUGUUAGCGGCGGACGGGUGAGUAACACGUGGAUAACCUACCUAUAAGACUGGGAUAACUUCGGGAAACCGGAGCUAAUACCGGAUAAUAUUUUGAACCGCAUGGUUCAAAAGUGAAAGACGGUCUUGCUGUCACUUAUAGAUGGAUCCGCGCUGCAUUAGCUAGUUGGUAAGGUAACGGCUUACCAAGGCAACGAUGCAUAGCCGACCUGAGAGGGUGAUCGGCCACACUGGAACUGAGACACGGUCCAGACUCCUACGGGAGGCAGCAGUAGGGAAUCUUCCGCAAUGGGCGAAAGCCUGACGGAGCAACGCCGCGUGAGUAAUGAAGGUCUUCGGAUCGUAAAACUCUGUUAUUAGGGAAGAACAUAUGUGUAAGUAACUGUGCACAUCUUGACGGUACCUAAUCAGAAAGCCACGGCUAACUACGUG
rnacentral:rRNA from 1 species